rnacentral:rRNA from 1 species
CAACAGCGUAUAUUUAAGUUGUUGCAGUUAAAAAGCUCGUAGUUGGAUUUCGGAUGGGAUUUGCCGGUCCGUCGUUACGAUGUGCACUGGCCAGUCCUAUCUUGUUGUCGGGGACUAGCUCCUUGGAUUCACUUCCUGGGACUAGGAGCUGACGAGGUUACUUUGAGUAAAUUAGAGUGUUCAAAGCAAGCCUACGCUCUGAAUACAUUAGCAUGGAAUAACACGAUAGGACUCUGGCUUAUCUAGUUGGUCUGUGAGACCAGAGUAAUGAUUAAGAGGGACAGUCGGGGACAUUCGUAUUUCAUUGUCAGAGGUGAAAUUCUUGGAUUUAUGAAAGACGAACUUCUGCGAAAGCAUUUGUCAAGGAUGUUUUCAUUGA